rnacentral:rRNA from 1 species
AUUGAACGCUGGCGGCAUGCUUUACACAUGCAAGUCGAGCGGGGGAAGGUAGCUUGCUACCGGACCUAGCGGCGGACGGGUGAGUAAUGCUUAGGAAUCUGCCUAUUAGUGGGGGACAACAUCUCGAAAGGGAUGCUAAUACCGCAUACGUCCUACGGUAGAAAGCAGGGGAUCUUCGGACCUUGCGCUAAUAGAUGAGCCUAAGUGGGAUUAGCUAGUGGGUGGGGUAAAGGCCUACCCAGGCGACGAUCUGUAGCGGGUCUGAGAGGAUGAGCCGCCACACUGGGACUGAGACACGGCCCAGAGUCCAACGGGGGGGAGGAGUGGGGAAGAGUGGACAAUGGGGGGAACCCUGAUCCAGCCAUGCCGCGUGUGUGAAGUAGGCCUUAUGGUUGUAAAGCACUUUCAGCGAGGAGGAGGCUACUCUAGUUAAUACCUAGGGAUAGUGGACGUUACUCGCAGAAUAAGCACCGGCUAACUCUGUGCCAGCCGCCGCCGUAA